GCCGACGAUGCUCAGUCCUAAGUAGUUGAGGAAUGAUAGGAUGAGAGUGAAGCCAAUGAUUGUGCCGUCUCUAGGGGCGCCGCCCGAGAUAGCGGGUGCGGCGCGGGCGAGGUAGUCGGCGCAGAGGACGGGGUAGGCGGCGCUGUUGAUGACGCCGCUGAUAAACUUCCAGGAGCCCAUGAGGGAGCCGAAGAAGGGGCCGAAGGCGCGGUCGGCCCAGACGACGUAGCCGCCGUUUCCGGGGAGGGCGGUG
rnacentral:misc_RNA from 1 species